AGCAGCCGCGGUAAUUCCAGCUCCAAUAGCGUAUAUUAAAGUUGUUGCAGUUAAAAAGCUCGUAGUUGAAUUUCGAGACCGGCUUACUGGUCGUGCUUUUGUACGUACUGGUAUAAUCGGUUUCUCCUUUCUGACGAACUAUAAUGCCAUUAAUUUGGUGUUAUAGGGAAUCAGGACUGUUACUUUGAAAAAUUAGAGUGUUUAAAGCAGGCUCACGCUUGAAUACAUUAGCAUGGAAUAACGGAAUAGGACGUUUGAUUCUAUUUUGUUGGUUUCUAGGAUCGACGUAAUGAUUAAUAGGGAUAGUUGGGGGCAUUAGUAUUCAAUUGUCAGAGGUGAAAUUCUUGGAUUUAUUGAAGACUAACUACUGCGAAAGCAUUUGCCAAGGAUGUUUUCAUUAAUCAAGAACGAAAGUUAGGGGAUCGAAGACGAUCAGAUACCGUCGUAGUCUUAACCAUAAACUAUGCCGACUAGGGAUCGGAUGAUGUUAAUUUUUAAUGACUCAU
rnacentral:rRNA from 1 species